rnacentral:rRNA from 1 species
CAAUAGCGUAUAUUAAAGUUGUUGCAGUUAAAAAGCUCGUAGUUGGAUUUCUGGUGGGAGCGAUCGGUCUGGCGCUUAGCGCGAGUACUUGCAUCGUCUCCGGCCAUCCUUGGGGAGAGUCUGUCUGGCAUUAAGUUGUCGGGCAGAGGAUCCUCAUCGUUUACUGUGAAAAAAUUAGAGUGUUCAAAGCAGGCUUAUGCCGUUGAAUAUAUUAGCAUGGAAUAAUAAGAUAGGACUUUGGUACUAUUUUGUUGGUUUGCGCGCCAAAGUAAUGAUUAAUAGGGACAGUUGGGGGUAUUCGUAUUCCGUUGUCAGAGGUGAAAUUCUUGGAUUUACGGAAGACGAACUACUGCGAAAGCAUUUACCAAGGAUGUUUUCAUUAA